rnacentral:lncRNA from 1 species
CAUUAUCUUACAUUCAACAUAAUCUCAUAGAUGUUUUGCUAAGCUGGAGACCAACAGCAAAUGUCUCAAUGGCUGUGCUCAACGUUCAUUGAUGUCAUUUGAGUGUCCCAGCGCGCUGCUUGCAUACACAAUCCACUUCUGAUCCAGUCUAAUUAUCAGCACGUUCGCAUUGGGAUCAGAUUUGGCGUGGUUUGACGGCAAAGGGAAUGUAACACCAGAAGGCAGCGCUGUCAUAAUCCUUGCAAAUUCCAAAUGCCUAAAUCCCCAUUUACGUUGGUGACUUAGCUAUGUUGUCAUACCAUUGAGAGCUGACAACCGAUAAAUACAGCAUCAAGAGCCACAGCAUGUCAGACCUACAGAGAGCGAAUCUAAAGAAACAGAUACCUGAAAAACGCCAGUGCAAAACAACUAAACAGCCGACUGAAUCAUUCUAAAUAACUGGUGGUGAGAGAGACAGAGCUUGCUUGCUGUUGAAAACUUUGCAACAGAUAUGGAGCAAAGUUAUUCACGAAGGUCUUCGAUGACUUUCUUUCUCAAAGAUGGUAAACUGGUUCACCACAGUGAAAAGUCAAUGGAUCCAGGACAAUGCCAUCUGUCCAAGGGCCGCUCUCGGCGGCUAACGUCACGGAGGCGGUCAAACAGUGUGAGCAUGUGUGUCUUACCAAGUAUCCCAGAAUAUCCAGGCUUCCAGGAUAUUAAGAGGCAUUAUACCAGAGGCAACUCUGUGCUUCAGGAUCUGGGAAGAACAGGACUGGAAAACUCUUCAAGUACAAGAGUGAUAAGCCUAAACAGAAACUUGGGCCACCAAACAGAUCGCUUUGCUAAAGGGCACUGCAAAAAGAGCUUUUUUUAUGACACAACUUUGCAAGACCACUACAAUGACAGGCUCAUGGAGUUUAGAAGUUACAGCACCAAAAAGUCAAAUGGAAAAGGAAACGAGAACCAGAAACCCAGUUUCACCAGCCAGGGACUAAGGCGGAGAAACAGCUGUGGGGCCAGGUUGCAAGAUAUCCUCAGGAGGUUGUCUGAAGACUCCUGCGAUUCAGACCAGAUCGCCGAAAGCAUGCCAACUUGUUCAGAGGAUGAAGGCACCAAUCUGGAAAGCUGUAAGAAGACCUAUUUGGAAAGUUUGACUCUGAGCAUCAAUGCUCCCCUGGAAAUGCUUGUGCGGAGGGAAUAA